rnacentral:rRNA from 1 species
UGGGGAAUCUUGCGCAAUGGGCGAAAGCCUGACGCAGCGACGCCGCGUGGGUGAUGAAGGCCUUCGGGUUGUAAAGCCCUGUGGGUAGGGACGAAGUUUCUUGGGUGAAGAGCCGAGGGGAUUGACGGUACCUAUUUAGCAAGCACCGGCUAACUCUGUGCCAGCAGCCGCGGUAAGACAGAGGGUGCAAACGUUGUUCGGAAUUACUGGGCGUAAAGCGCACGUAGGCGGUUUCUCACGUCGGAUGUGAAAGCCCUGGGCUCAACCUGGGAAGCGCAUACGAUACGGAGGAACUGGAGUCCCGGAGAGGAUGGUGGAACUCUCGGUGUAGAGGUGAAAUUCGUAGAUAUCGGGAAGAACAUCGGUGGCGAAGGCGGCCAUCUGGACGGUGACUGACGCU